AGGUGACACACGCCGCCAGUCUGCGUCCCCGGCUGUCUGCGCAUCCCGUCGCGCACGUGGCCGGGCGCGCGGGGAGGUAGCGCCGGCUCCUCUGGAAGCCCUCGCAGCGGCAGCGCCCCCAGCCUCGCAGCCCCGGCGGGGGCCGAGAGCGCACCUGGCUGGAGAUGCUUCCUCCUCACCCUGGGCUCUGACCUCACGCCCGCAGCCCGAGGGCCCUCCCUGGUACCUCUGCCCUGCUGGCCGGUGCCUGGAGUGGCCCCGCCCGACUCCUGCCGUCUGACACGGUCCUGGCUGCCCUCCGGGCUCUCCAGCAGCUGCUGUCCACCUCCACCAGGGAGCCCACCUUGAUUGCUGCGACAGCCGCACUCAAAGGCUGAACAGCCGGGGUACACAUUGCCCUGGUCUGGACUUCACCCUGUCGUGCCCCUUCCCUGCUCUCUGUACAGAAGUCUGACUCACCUGUGUGGUUUGGUGCAAACCCACAGAUUGCCAACAUUGGUCCAAAGUCACCGGCCUGAGAGCAGCUCAGGGUUCCAGGACGUGAGUGGCCACCCGCCAGCCCCAGGGCUAGUGGGUUGAGAGUUGGGGGCCAGAGGGCCCAGGGGCUGGUCCUCUUGGCACUGCCAGGCGUUCUCAGUGGCCCUCAGGGGUCUAAAUAUUGUGGCAGACAUCCCCGGGCGGUCUGGUGUGACCGUCAGCGCGCACACACACUUGCCUCGGAGCUUCCAGCCUCCCCUAAGUCUGACCUCUCAUCUCUAUACAGUCACCAUCGCUGUCCCUGCGCUGACCACUCACACACCACUCCCCUGUUCAGCUCUUCUGAGGCUGUGGCUCUCGGGACUGGCCCAGGCCCACCUGCCAUCUGGGCGCCCUCUGGGGCUCGCUUCGUCGCCCGCUGCCUGGGCCCAUGCCUGUGCUCCUGGGGGCUCCUCUCUUGCCUAGCUCAUCUCUUCCUGUCCCUUGGGUCCUGAGGAUCAAAGCCAACGCGACAUUGUUUGUCCCCAGGCCCCUCCCCCUCCAGCCGCUGCUUCCCAGAGCUCUGUCCAGUUCUCUCCCGCAGUACGAGGGCAGGGUUGGGGCUGGUGGGUUAGCCUUCCCCCACCCACCACGCACCCAGCACAGGGCUCCCCCGAGAUCAGAUCCCUGGUAGGAUGACACCCCAAGCCUUCCCCUCCAGCAGUAUCCACACAGCACCUGCGAAGGAGGAGGGGCUGCUGCCCAUGUGGGUCCUCCCGGGGACCUACCUGAGGGUCCAGUGGGGCUGCCCUCUUCUGUGCUGGACACGCAGCAGAGGUGGGCAGAGAUGCUGGAGAGCACGGUAGGUCUAGGGGGUGACCACUACAGUUGAGUUCAUGUCAGGCUCCAGGCCAGUCUUCCCUGAGUCAUCCUGGCCGUAGAAGACCAGGCUCUGGCGGGCAGGCACCCCACCCUGGCUCUCCCUAGGCCCCGGGUCUUGCUCUGAAACCCUCAAGUGUCCCUUAACUAAGAUCCAGGAGGACUUGCUCCUUCAGAAAGCACGGUGUGCCUGUCCUCCACGGCCCUCCUCCCGCUCACUCCAGGUGUGCUGGAGAUUCCUCCAGGCCUCCAGAUGGGAUUCCUGCCACACAGGCCUCGGUGAAAGCCUCCGGAGGGCUCCUGCGUGGGGGUCCAGCAGCCUGGCCCUGGAGUGGAGGGCAGGGCAGGGCCAGAGGCAGCCCUUUCCCUAAAGUGUGACAUCUUUGU
rnacentral:lncRNA from 1 species